UACGGAGGGUGCAAACGUUGCUCGGAAUCAUUGGGCGUAAAGCGCACGUAGGCGGACCAUCAAGUCGGGUGUGAAAGCCCUGGGCUCAACCCAGGAAGUGCACUCGAAACUGGCAGGCUAGAGUACUGGAGAGGUUGGUGGAAUUCUCGGUGUAGAGGUGAAAUUCGUAGAUAUCGAGAGGAACACCGGUGGCGAAGGCGGCCAACUGGACAGAUACUGACGCUGAGACACGAAAGCGUGGGGAGCAAACAGG
rnacentral:rRNA from 1 species